rnacentral:rRNA from 1 species
AUUGAACGCUGGCGGAAUGCUUUACACAUGCAAGUCGAACGGCAGCACGGACUUCGGUCUGGUGGCGAGUGGCGAACGGGUGAGUAAUGUAUCGGAACGUGCCCAGUCGUGGGGGAUAACGUAGUGAAAAUUACGCUAAUACCGCAUACGAUCUAUGGAUGAAAGCGGGGGAUCGCAAGACCUCGCGCGAUUGGAGCGGCCGAUAUCAGAUUAGGUAGUUGGUGGGGUAAAGCCCACUAAGCCAACGAUCUGUAGCUGGUCUGAGAGGACGACCAGCCACACUGGAACUGAGACACGGUCCAGACUCCUACGGGAGGCAGCAGUGGGGAAUUUUGGACAAUGGGCGAAAGCCUGAUCCAGCCAUUCCGCGUGCAGGAUGAAGGCCCUCGGGUUGUAAACUGCUUUUGUACAGAACGAAAAGGUUUCUACUAAUACUAGGAGCUCAUGACGGUACUGUAAGAAUAAGCACCGGCUAACUACGUGCCAGCCGCCGCAGUAA